rnacentral:rRNA from 1 species
UNUGAAGUUAAAGGCUGUGGCUUAACCAUAGUAUGCUUUGGAAACUGUUUAACUUGAGUGCAGAAGGGGAGAGUGGAAUUCCAUGUGUAGCGGUGAAAUGCGUAGAUAUAUGGAGGAACACCGGUGGCGAAAGCGGCUCUCUGGUCUGUAACUGACGCUGAGGCUCGAAAGCGUGGGGAGCAAACAGGAUUAGAUGCCCUGGUAGUCCACGCCGUAAACGAUGAGUGCUAGGUGUUAGGCCCUUUCCGGGGCUUAGUGCCGCAGCUAACGCAUUAAGCACUCCGCCUGGGGAGUACGACCGCAAGGUUGAAACUCAAAGGAAUUGACGGGGGCCCGCACAAGCGGUGGAGCAUGUGGUUUAAUUCGAAGCAACGCGAAGAACCUUACCAGGUCUUGACAUCCCUCUGGCCGCUCUAGAGAUAGAGUUUUCCUUCGGGACAGAGGUGACAGGUGGUGCAUGGUUGUCGUCAGCUCGUGUCGUGAGAUGUUGGGUUAAGUCCCGCAACGAGCGCAACCCCUAUUGUUAGUUGCCAUCAUUGAGUUGGGCACUCUAGCGAGACUGCCGGUAAUAAACCGGAGGAAGGUGGGGAUGACGUCAAAUCAUCAUGCCCCUUAUGACCUGGGCUACACACGUGCUACAAUGGCUGGUACAACGAGUCGCAAGCCGGUGACGGCAAGCUAAUCUCUGAAAGCCAGUCUCAGUUCGGAUUGUAGGCUGCAACUCGCCUACAUGAAGUCGGAAUCGCUAGUAAUCGCGGAUCAGCACGCCGCGGUGAAUACGUUCCCGGGCCUUGUACACACCGCCCGUCACACCACGAGAGUUUGUAACACCCGAAGUCGGUGAGGUAACCGCAAGGAGCCA